GAAUGGUUACAGUGGUUAGAGCGUCCAACCGGCAUCUGGAAGGUCAUGGGUUCGAUUCCCGUUGGGGAGCU